UACGUAGGGUGCAAGCGUUGUCCGGAAUUAUUGGGCGUAAAGAGCUCGUAGGCGGUCUGUCGCGUCUGCUGUGAAAACUCAGGGCUUAACCCUGAGCUUGCAGUGGGUACGGGCAGACUAGAGUGCGGUAGGGGAGACUGGAAUUCCUGGUGUAGCGGUGAAAUGCGCAGAUAUCAGGAGGAACACCGGUGGCGAAGGCGGGUCUCUGGGCCGAAACUGACGCU
rnacentral:rRNA from 1 species